rnacentral:rRNA from 1 species
UACGUAGGGUGCAAGCGUUAAUCGGAAUUACUGGGCGUAAAGCGUGCGCAGGCGGUUAUGUAAGACAGGUGUGAAAUCCCCGGGCUUAACCUGGGAACUGCAUUUGUGACUGCAUAGCUAGAGUGCGGUAGAGGGAGAGUGGAAUUCCCGGUGUAGCAGUGAAAUGCGUAGAGAUCGGGAGGAACGACAGUGCGAAGGCGGCUCUCGUGGACCAGCACC